rnacentral:snRNA from 1 species
GUGCUUGCUUCGACAGCACAUAUACUAAAAUUAGAAUGACACAGAGAAGAUUAGCAUGGCCCCUGCUCAAGGGUGACAUGCAAAUUCAUGAAGCAUUCCAUAUUUUU